CAGGUAGUCCACGCCGUAAACGAUGAUUACUAGGUGUAGGUGGGUAUGGACCCAUCGGUGCCGCAGCAAACGCAGUAAGUAAUCCACCUGGGGAGUACGUGAAGUUGGAUUCGCUAGUAAUCGCGCAUCAGCCAUGGCGCGGUGAAUACGUUCCCGGGCCUUGUACACACCGCCCGUCAAGCCAUGGAAGCUGGGGGUGCCUGAAGUUCGUGACCGGAAGGAGCGACCUAGGGCAAAACCGGUGACUGGGGCUAAGUCGUAACAAGGUAAC
rnacentral:rRNA from 1 species